AUGAAGAGCAAGAGGAGAGGAGAGAGAGAGAGAGAAUUUCGGACGUUGAAGAUGUGAACAGCAUUUCAAGUUAACACUUGAAACAGUGAAUAACAACACAAGAACUUAUAACAAAAUGGAUUUAGUGUGUGGUGAAAACUAUGAUAAAACGAAUUUCUUAUCCAAAAAAUGUACUACAAUUCACGAUCCCGUUAUUCAUGAUGAUGAACGUGUUCUGCACAAUCUACUGGUCACCCAGAAUCGCUACGUGAUAAAAACCUCGUACUUUAAAUGUCUUCAAACGGAUCUCGAUGUGCAAAUGAGAGAAAUGGUUGCUAACUGGAUGCUUGAGGUUUGUGAAGAAGAAAGAUGUGAGAAGGAUGUGUUUCCUUUAGCCAUGAACAUCAUGGAUCGAUUUUUGUCCCAAGUUCGAAUAAGAAAAAGUCAACUGCAACUUCUUGGAGCUGUUUCCUUGUUCAUUUCGUCCAAAGUUAAACAAAUCAAACCUCUUCAUGCUCAUCGUCUUAUCCUCUACUCCGAUUAUUCAAUUACAAGAGAUCAACUAUCGAAUUGGGAACUUUUAGUUCUGAGCCAUUUAAGAUGGGAUACAAGUGCUGUCACUCCGAACGAUUUCCUCAACCUGAUUCUCCAUCGUUUACCUACACGAACCAAAGGAAAAGAUAAAUUAAUGACCAUCCAAAAACACGCACAAACAUUCAUCGCUCUCUGUGCCACAGAUUUUCGUUUUUCCAUGUUACCACCAUCAUCUAUCGCAGCUUCUUGCAUUGCAACUGCGUUUCUCGGUUUAACCAGAAACAAUUCACAAACAACCAAAGAUUUGAUCGCUCAACUUUGUAAAUUAACCAACAUUGAGAACACCGAUCUGCUGGAGAUCAGGAGGACCAUCGAGGAGGUUUUAAGAGCCCAAACCAACCACAAAUGAGAGUACACUGGAUAUGGAAACGGAAAUAGUGGACUUAAGAGAAAUUCAAAGUUUUCUCGAAUUCAGAAAAGUUACUGUAAAUGCCAAAACAAAUCGAAAAUCAAACUCAGAGAAACAACAUUAAUUUCGCAAUCAUCAAGCAUCGCUAAAAUCUUUAUCCAAUCCAAACAACUCAUUCGCUUCCCAAUACAAACCAACUGAUAAUAAGUCAAACUGAUUAAUGGUUGGUAAUUGUGUCGUCACCUCAAUUAAUUUUGUGAAAUUCAACCACAAUUUAGUCAACAUCAGAUCUUCUUACUGUGCUCAUGUGUGUUGCCCUAUGAUGAUGUUAAUCCCACUUGAAUGAGAACGUGCAAAUUAUCAAGAACAUCAUCAAUUUGAAAGGAACCUAAUCCAUUUCAUCUUCAUUUGUAUCAUUUAUCAUCACCAAAACACUCAUCUCUCUCUCUCUCUCUCUCUCUCAUCGUUUCAUUAACUUUUUCUUGUUCUUUUUGCUUUAAUCGUUAUCAUCAUCAUACUAAUCAUCAUCACUCUCAUUGCCCUUUUUCUCACCUCAAUUUUAAUCUCAAAUUACCUGAUCGAUUGUUUUGUUUAUGAAACAAAACAAAAUACAAAACCGUAACUAGUGAGAUCGCAACGACUGAUUUAGUUUUUGCUCUUUUAAAUUAUUUAGAAUGUAAAAUGUGAGAUACCGAAAUCGAGAGAGAGAGAAGAAAGUUCAAGAAACAAUGAGAUUGAAAUGAUUAAUUGAUCGAUUGAGUUUAAUUCCUGUUGCAAAAGCAAUUCUUGUUAUUAGACUAAUUGCUGAUGGAAAUUCUGGUUACUUUUGAAUAUUUGGACCAUGAAUCUAGAGUUUCAAUCACCAAUGGAAUCAACAAAAAGGCAAAGUGAUAAUUAAUCGAUUGAAUUUGGAUCAUAAGUUAUAAAUCUUUUCCCAUGUUAACUUGUCCUCACAAGCGAAGCCAUUUUGUCAAAAUGAACCAUAAUGAAUUUACCGAAGAUUUUCAGUCUGAUUAUCUUAUCAAUUUUGUAUUAAAAUAAUACCAAACGUUAUCGUGAAUAAACUGUGUUAAAUUAAAGAUUCAAAGCCACAACAGAAAAUUGUUUCAUUUUAUCCUCGAAUCAAUAAAACGUAUUUACCAUUGUCAUUGGAAAGAUAAUUUCGAUCGAGACAGAAUAGAAAAGCAAAUGUUGAUCUGAAUUGAAAAGUUCGAAAGAAGCGCUUCCGUGUGAUUGGUCGUUUCAGUUGCCUAGGAACGAAUCUCCGGAAACACUUUGGCCUUCAUUGUGUUUGUCAAUUGAAGGAAUUGCAUUGAUGCAAUUUUGUUUUGUUUAAUUUCUAAAUUAUUUUGCUUCAGUUUCGAUUAAUUGGAACCAUGAGUUCCAUACGACAACAACAGACUCAAGAACGUAAAGAUGCAUUCAAAGAAUUUAUAAAAAGUCUACCUCGUACCUGUUCUCCUACAAUCUGUGGAACCAUUGGUUGUCGUGUGGAAUCUGAAAAAAGUGAUUCUCUUUCCGAAGAUUGGCAAAGUCAAGAAUUCAAUUGGUCCAUUGACCAACUAGCCAUUUUAAAACCAUGUGAUAUAUCUCUGGAUGAACAGUUCAAUGGCGAACUUACCAACUUGGCAGAUUCAUCUUUAGACCGAGAAAAUGAAGAAUUUUUCAAACAAUUAGAAAUCUUACCUUCCCCUGCCUUUUGCAGAUUAGCUAACUUGACUCCUGGGGAAACACAAGAACCUUUUCUGACCCCAUUCUCUCGAGUUGCUCCUGGUAAUCAAUCUACACCGUACCAACCCUGUACACCUCCCCCGACUCGCAGUGCAUCUCGUACUGCUCGAUUAUCAGCUGUAUCAUCUUUAACACCUUAUGGUUAUAAUAAGACAAAGAACAAGAAAAAACUGUUUAACGACAACAAUCAAGAAGGCAUUCCUGAAGAUGCCGAAUCAAGUGGACAUCAAACUGUAGCAAUGUGCUCUAUUGAUCGCCCUUCAUCACCUUCUUCAUUGUCACUUCCAUCAUGAUUAUGUGUCAAUUUUAUGGCUAAGGGUUAACAAAGAGAAAACUUUAUAGCAUUUUCUUAUAACUUUUUAUCACCAUUGUAAUUUUUGUAAAUUCUACUUUUUCAUUCAUAACACCGAGAAAAUUUACUCGCCAAAAA